rnacentral:rRNA from 1 species
AGGACGAACGCUGGCGGCGUGCUUAACACAUGCAAGUCGAGCGGUAAGGCCCUUCGGGGUACACGAGCGGCGAACGGGUGAGUAACACGUGGGUAACCUGCCCUGUACUGUGGGAUAAGCCUGGGAAACUGGGUCUAAUACCGCAUAUGACUGCAUUCCGCAUGGGGUGUGGUGGAAAGUUCUGGCGGUACAGGAUGGGCCCGCGGCCUAUCAGCUUGUUGGUGGGGUGAUGGCCUACCAAGGCGACGACGGGUAGCCGGCCUGAGAGGGCGACCGGCCACACUGGGACUGAGACACGGCCCAGACUCCUACGGGAGGCAGCAGUGGGGAAUCUUGCGCAAUGGGCGAAAGCCUGACGCAGCGACGCCGCGUGAGGGAUGACGGCCUUCGGGUUGUAAACCUCUUUCGACCGGGACGAAGCGUGAGUGACGGUACCGGUAGAGAAGCACCGGCUAACUACGUGCCAGCAGCCGC